GUGAAUCAUCAAAUUUUUGAACGCAUAUUGCACUCCCCGGCGUUCCGGGGAGUAUGCCUGUUUCAGCAUCAGAAUCAUCCUCGAGCCCACGAGACGGACUCCUAUCUCGUAUGCCGUCUUCUGCUUGAAAAAAAAAUAGGUUUUUAAGCGACUUAAAAUUUUCUUUUUGGUUCCAUGAACGUUUCUAAGAUUUAUUUCUUUACACGUUUAAGGUAUCGAUUUUUAUUAGACGUGGCCGUUGCAUCGGAUCACGUCCAUAAAUAUUUCGUUAACUGACCUCAUACAGGUAAGAACACGCG
rnacentral:misc_RNA from 1 species